GCUGCAGUCGUCCAACCGGAGAGGAUCCUGGCCUUUCAAGUCGGUGAAUGCGGGUUCGAAUCCCGUCUGCAGCG
rnacentral:tRNA from 1 species